rnacentral:rRNA from 2 species
GGGGGAUAUUGCGCAAUGGGGGCAACCCUGACGCAGCAACGCCGCGUGAAGGAUGAAGGUUUUCGGAUUGUAAACUUCUUUUAUUAAGGACGAAAAAUGACGGUACUUAAUGAAUAAGCUCCGGCUAACUACGUGCCAGCAGCCGCGGUAAUACGUAGGGAGCAAGCGUUGUCCGGAUUUACUGGGUGUAAAGGGUGCGUAGGCGGCUUUGCAAGUCAGAUGUGAAAUCUAUGGGCUCAACCCAUAAACUGCAUUUGAAACUGUAGAGCUUGAGUGAAGUAGAGGCAGGCGGAAUUCCCCGUGUAGCGGUGAAAUGCGUAGAGAUGGGGAGGAACACCAGUGGCGAAGGCGGCCUGCUGGGCUUUAACUGACGCUGAGGCACGAAAGCGUGGGUAGCAAACAGGAUUAGAUACCCUGGUAGUCCACGCUGUAAACGAUGAUUACUAGGUGUGGGGGGUCUGACCCCUUCCGUGCCGGAGUUAACACAAUAAGUAAUCCACCUGGGGAGUACGGCCGCAAGGUUGAAACUCAAAGGAAUUGACGGGGGCCCGCACAAGCAGUGGAGUAUGUGGUUUAAUUCGAAGCAACGCGAAGAACCUUACCAGGUCUUGACAUCCAACUAACGAAGUAGAGAUACAUUAGGUGCCCUUCGGGGAAAGUUGAGACAGGUGGUGCAUGGUUGUCGUCAGCUCGUGUCGUGAGAUGUUGGGUUAAGUCCCGCAACGAGCGCAACCCUUGCUAUUAGUUGCUACGCAAGAGCACUCCAAUAGGACUGCCGUUGACAAAACGGAGGAAGGUGGGGACGACGUCAAAUCAUCAUGCCCCUUAUGACCUGGGCUACACACGUACUACAAUGGAUGUUAACAGAGGGAAGCAAGACAGCGAUGUGGAGCAAACCCCUAAAAACAUUCUCAGUUCAGAUUGCAGGCUGCAACCCGCCUGCAUGAAGAUGGAAUUGCUAGUAAUCGCGGAUCAGCAUGCCGCGGUGAAUACGUUCCCG